rnacentral:rRNA from 1 species
UAAGCGACUAAGCGUACACGGUGGAUGCCUAGGCAGUCAGAGGCGAUGAAGGGCGUGCUAAUCUGCGAAAAGCGUCGGUAAGCUGAUAUGAAGCGUUAUAACCGACGAUACCCGAAUGGGGAAACCCAGUGCAAUACGUUGCACUAUCGUUAGAUGAAUACAUAGUCUAACGAGGCGAACCGGGGGAACUGAAACAUCUAAGUACCCCGAGGAAAAGAAAUCAACCGAGAUUCCCCCAGUAGCGGCGAGCGAACGGGGAGGAGCCCAGAGUCUGAAUCAGUUUGUGUGUUAGUGGAAGCGUCUGGAAAGUCGCACGGUACAGGGUGAUAGUCCCGUACACCAAAAUGCACAGGCUGUGAACUCGAUGAGUAGGGCGGACACGUGACAUCCUGUCUGAAUAUGGGGGGACCAUCCUCCAAGGCUAAAUACUCCUGACUGACCGAUAGUGAACCAGUACCGUGAGGGAAAGGCGAAAAGAACCCCGGCGAGGGGAGUGAAAUAGAACCUGAAACCGUGUACGUACAAGCAGUGGGAGCACCUUCGUGGUGUGACUGCGUACCUUUUGUAUAAUGGGUCAGCGACUUAUAUUUUGUAGCAAGGUUAACCGAAUAGGGGAGCCGUAGGGAAACCGAGUCUUAACUGGGCGUCUAGUUGCAAGGUAUAGACCCGAAACCCGGUGAUCUAGCCAUGGGCAGGUUGAAGGUUGGGUAACACUAACUGGAGGACCGAACCGACUAAUGUUGAAAAUUAGCGGAUGACUUGUGGCUGGGGGUGAAAGGCCAAUCAAACCGGGAGAUAGCUGGUUCUCCCCGAAAGCUAUUUAGGUAGCGCCUCGUGAACUCAUCUUCGGGGGUAGAGCACUGUUUCGGCUAGGGGGCCAUCCCGGCUUACCAAACCGAUGCAAACUCCGAAUACCGAAGAAUGUUAUCACGGGAGACACACGGCGGGUGCUAACGUCCGUCGUGAAGAGGGAAACAACCCAGACCGCCAGCUAAGGUCCCAAAGUCAUGGUUAAGUGGGAAACGAUGUGGGAAGGCACAGACAGCCAGGAUGUUGGCUUAGAAGCAGCCAUCAUUUAAGAAAGCGUAAUAGCUCACUGGUCGAGUCGGCCUGCGCGGAAGAUGUAACGGGGCUAAACCAUGCACCGAAGCUGCGGCAGCGACACUUAGGUGUUGUUGGGUAGGGGAGCGUUCUGUAAGCCGUUGAAGGUGACCUGUGAGGGUUGCUGGAGGUAUCAGAAGUGCGAAUGCUGACAUAAGUAACGAUAAUGCGGGUGAAAAACCCGCACGCCGGAAGACCAAGGGUUCCUGUCCAACGUUAAUCGGGGCAGGGUGAGUCGACCCCUAAGGCGAGGCUGAAAAGCGUAGUCGAUGGGAAACAGGUUAAUAUUCCUGUACUUGGUGUUACUGCGAAGGGGGGACGGAGAAGGCUAGGCUGGCCGGGCGACGGUUGUCCCGGUUUAAGCGUGUAGGGGGAGUGACCAGGUAAAUCCGGUUGCUUAUCAACCCUGAGGCGUGAUGACGAUGCACCACGGUGCAGAAGCAGUUGAUGCCAUGCUUCCAGGAAAAGCCUCUAAGCAUCAGGUAACAUUAAAUCGUACCCCAAACCGACACAGGUGGUCAGGUAGAGAAUACUCAGGCGCUUGAGAGAACUCGGGUGAAGGAACUAGGCAAAAUGGUGCCGUAACUUCGGGAGAAGGCACGCUGGCGUUAGGUGAAAGGACUAGCUCCUGGAGCUGAAGCCAGUCGCAGAUACCAGCUGGCUGCAACUGUUUAAUAAAAACACAGCACUGUGCAAACACGAAAGUGGACGUAUACGGUGUGACGCCUGCCCGGUGCUGGAAGGUUAAUUGAUGGGGUCAGCCGCAAGGCGAAGCUCUUGAUCGAAGCCCCAGUAAACGGCGGCCGUAACUAUAACGGUCCUAAGGUAGCGAAAUUCCUUGUCGGGUAAGUUCCGACCUGCACGAAUGGCGUAAUGAUGGCCAGGCUGUCUCCACCCGAGACUCAGUGAAAUUGAACUCGCUGUGAAGAUGCAGUGUACCCGCGGCAAGACGGAAAGACCCCGUGAACCUUUACUAUAGCUUGACACUGAACAUUGAGCCUUGAUGUGUAGGAUAGGUGGGAGGCCUUGAAGUGUGGACGCCAGUCUGCAUGGAGCCAACCUUGAAAUACCACCCUUUAAUGUUUGAUGUUCUAACUCGGCCCCAUGAUCUGGGGUGAGGACAGUGUCUGGUGGGUAGUUUGACUGGGGCGGUCUCCUCCCAAAGAGUAACGGAGGAGCACGAAGGUUAGCUAAUCACGGUCGGACAUCGUGAGGUUAGUGCAAAGGCAUAAGCUAGCUUGACUGCGAGAGUGACGGCUCGAGCAGGUACGAAAGUAGGUCUUAGUGAUCCGGUGGUUCUGAAUGGAAGGGCCAUCGCUCAACGGAUAAAAGGUACUCCGGGGAUAACAGGCUGAUACCGCCCAAGAGUUCAUAUCGACGGCGGUGUUUGGCACCUCGAUGUCGGCUCAUCACAUCCUGGGGCUGAAGUAGGUCCCAAGGGUAUGGCUGUUCGCCAUUUAAAGUGGUACGCGAGCUGGGUUUAGAACGUCGUGAGACAGUUCGGUCCCUAUCUGCCGUGGGCGUUGGAAGAUUGAGAGGGGCUGCUCCUAGUACGAGAGGACCGGAGUGGACGAAUCACUGGUGUUCGGGUUGUCAUGCCAAUGGCAUUGCCCGGUAGCUAAAUUCGGAAGAGAUAACCGCUGAAAGCAUCUAAGCGGGAAACUUGCCUCGAGAUGAGUCUUCCCUGGGGCUUAAAGCCCCCUGAAGGAACGUUAAAGACUAUGACGUUGAUAGGCUGGGUGUGUAAGUGCAGCGAUGUAUUGAGCUAACCAGUACUAAUGAUCCGUGAGGCUUAACCU